rnacentral:rRNA from 1 species
AUUGAACGCUGGCGGCAUGCCUUACACAUGCAAGUCGAACGGUAACGGGCCUUCGGGUGCCGACGAGUGGCGAACGGGUGAGUAAUACAUCGGAACGUGCCCGAUCGUGGGGGAUAACGAGGCGAAAGCUUUGCUAAUACCGCAUACGAUCUACGGAUGAAAGCAGGGGACCGCAAGGCCUUGCGCGGACGGAGCGGCCGAUGGCAGAUUAGGUAGUUGGUGGGAUAAAAGCUUACCAAGCCGACGAUCUGUAGCUGGUCUGAGAGGAUGAUCAGCCACACUGGGACUGAGACACGGCCCAGACUCCUACGGGAGGCAGCAGUGGGGAAUUUUGGACAAUGGGCGCAAGCCUGAUCCAGCCAUACCGCGUGCAGGAUGAAGGCCUUCGGGUUGUAAACUGCUUUUGUACGGAACGAAAAGCCUUCUUUUAAUACAGGAGGGUCAUGACGGUACCGUAAGAAUAAGCACCGGCUAACUACGUG